rnacentral:lncRNA from 1 species
AAUAGGGUAGGUCGGGUUGGAAAAAAAAAUGCUGGAAUUUAGUUAAAUUGUUUCAGUUUUGGGAGCUCUUGCUUUUUACAAAAUCAAGUUUUAUUGCAGUUAAUUAUUUAGUGCCCCUAGUUUCCUUUUUAGGACAAACGAUGGGUCGCAUGCAAUUGAGACCCAAUAACAUGUGAGCAAAACUGUGGAUCGCUUUACCGAUGAGCCUAAUUAAUUAUGAUUUGGAUCACAAAUCAAAAAGAGCUUCGCAGCUAAACUAUUCAGCUAAUCAAAACUGGUACCAGCCCAAGUUCAGAACGACGGUAGCAUACAUUUUAGGCCCAAUAAGAUGUCAACAAAGCUCUAGUGGGUUAUGUAUGUGCCUAAAUAAUCCAGACAAGGAAUACAAAACCACUAUAAGAAGGCCCUCUUCUAUUCUUACAAAUGAUCCAAAGAACCGCCUUUGACAGUUUUCUAACAUAAAGAAACAAAAUGAAUUUGUGUUACAAAAAAAAAAAAAAACAAAAUGAAUUUUAAAUGUGUUGAGAUAGAGAGAGCCGCGAAGUAACGCGGUGAGUGACGAAAACGUGGCCCCGCGUAAGGAACGAGUCGAGAAGAAUCUGCGUCCGUGCGUCGCGUAACCAACAUGUGCAAGUACUGACAUCCAAACGUUUUCAGUUUUUCACCUUUUUUCGCAAAAGGCGUAUUUCACUUCUUUGUUGACGUCACGUUUUUUUACAAUCUUUUUACUUUUUUAUCAAGUGUAUUCAUGUAAACUUGUACUUUCACUGACAUCUUUGAAAGCACUAAUAUCAC